rnacentral:piRNA from 1 species
UAUCAAACUUCUCUAUAAAUU